GUCCCGCCUGCCCUGUGAUGUAUAUUUAACGGCCGCGGUAUUUUGACCGUGCAAAGGUAGCGCAAUCACUUGUCUUUUAAAUGAAGACCUGUAUGAAUGGCAUGACGAGGGCUUAACUGUCUCCUUUUUCCAGUCAAUGAAAUUGAUCUUCCCGUGCAGAAGCGGGAAUACAACCAUAAGACGAGAAGACCCUAUGGAGCUUUAAACAAAAACAGAUCUUGUUAAACAUAUCCAAACAAAGAAAUUAAACUAAAAGAACCCUGUUGUUNAUGUUUUUGGUUGGGGCGACCACGGGGAAACAAAUAACCCCCAUGUGGACUGAGAAAACAAUUCUCACAACAAAGAGCCACAGCUCUAAUUAACAGAACUUCUGACCUUNGAGAUCCGGCAACGCCGAUCAACGGACCAAGUUACCCUAGGGAUAACAGCGCAAUCCUCUUUUAGAGUUCAUAUCGACAAGAGGGUUUACGACCUCGAUGUUGGAUCAGGACAUCCUAAUGGUGCAGCAGCUAUUAAGGG
rnacentral:rRNA from 1 species